rnacentral:Y_RNA from 1 species
GGCUGGUCCGAAGGUAGUGAGUUAUCUCACUCGAUCAUUCACAGUCAGUUACAGAUUGAACUCCCUGUUCUACUCUUUCUUCCCUUCUCACUACUGUAUUUGACUGGUCUAAA